GUGCCUGUAGCUCAACUGGAUAGAGCGUCGGCCUCCGAAGCCGAAGGUUGUGGGUUCGACCCCCGCUAGGCACACCA
rnacentral:tRNA from 1 species